rnacentral:lncRNA from 1 species
AGAAUCUUGUGCUGAAAUGAUGGAUCAGUAGGUAAAGCCCUUAUGCUUAGAUUUGUUUUCUUUUGUUGUCAUUAAAUACCCUGAUGGAAGUAACUUAUGGGUAAAAGUAUUUAUUUGAAUCACAGUCUCAGGUUAUGGUCCAUUACUAUGGGGAAUUCAUGACAGCAGGGACUUGAAGAAGUUAGUCACAGCAUACCCACAGUAAAAAACAGAAAACAAUGUAUUAAUGUGUGUGUGUGUGUGUGUGUGUGUGUGUGUGUGUGUGUGUGUGUGUGUGUGUUGGUGUCCCUGGUUGUGGGUGAACCUUCCCAUAUCAGUCAAUGUAAUGAAGACACAGAUAAGUCUUCAGGCCAUCCUAAUCUAGAAGACCAUUCAUUGAGAUUACUACUUGUUGACUACUAAAAUGAAUCAUCACACUGUAAACAUGAGAACUGGAGUUUUAACCUCUACAGCUCACAACUCACAUGAAAGUUAGGUGCAAUGGCAUGUGCCUGCAAUCCUAGAGCUUCUACAGUGAAUUUGAGACAAGAGGCAGGAGAAGCUCACAUCAGGCCAGAGAACCUGAUUAACAGGUUAACUGCAGGAGGCAAUGUCUCAAACAAGUUAGAAAUUUUGAAGUGACAGCAGAUAUUGUCCUCUGAUGUUCACACAUGUACCAUGUGCUCUAUGGCAUACAAAUACCUUACUAAUAUACAAUAACACACACACACACACACAUACAGACACACACACACACACACACACACACACACACACACACACACACACACAUACACAUUCAAUGUUUUAUCACUGGUUCUCCCAGCUGAGGUAUUGAGUAUAUCCUAGGAAAUAUAGGAAACCCCUCCUCCAAAAUAAGUGUACACAGGCCUCUCCUCGUAAACAUUAAUUUUUCUCAUAGUCCUGAUAGGAAAAUUUCCUGCUGUUUUCUUGUCACUCCUCAUGUGAGCCCACUGCUUCUUUUACAAAUCUAGAUAUUUAUCUGGAUUUAGUUAUUUCUUGUUUUCAGUGAUGGCAAAAUAUUUUUCUUUAGUUGUCUUGCUGGUCAAUUUGAACAUUUACAUCUAUUUUACUUUAGAUGGGCAUAGAUAUAGGAUGCUGUUACAUGUCUCCAAACCACCAUUUCUUUAAUGUUUUGAGAAUAAAACAUGUUCUGUUCAGAUGUCCAUCUUGGUGAUGACACAAAUUAGAAUGAUGCACUACUUUUUUUUUAAUAUUUCUAUUCUUAUUAAUUUAUGUGCAUCUAUCUGUAUCUAUGUUCCAUGGACAAAUGCAUAAACAUGCCUGAAGAGAUUAGGAAAAAGUGUUCAAUUCCCUAGAGUUAGAGUUACAGGCAUUUGUGAGUUGCCUGAUUUUAGUGAUAGGAUGAAAUCUUGGGUCUCCUGCAAGAAAAAUAAGUUGUAUGUACUAGUGGUCCUUCUCUCUCUAACUCUGGCAGCUAAUUCUCUUUUUUCCAGAUUUCCAUAGAUUGUUUAUUCAUAAUGAAAAUAUGAAUUUAAAACUGAUUAAUUUUAAUCUUUUAAAAAGGAAGACAGGCAGUAUAAGGAAUUGGUUACGUCAAAGAUUUCUCCUGUUCUGUUACAGGCUCCCUUGUACUUAGCCAAGUACAGUUUUUAUUUGUUUGUUUCUGAUUUUUUGUUUGUUAGUUUGUUCUUUAACUUUUAAGAGAGUUUAUGUUGUUAAUUUUUUCAUAUAUUUAAUUUUUAAGAUAAUUGGAGUCUUACUCCUUAUUUUUCCGGGGAUGGAUACUCUCUUUUGGCCAUUAAAAUAAAUUUUAGUUAAGUCAUUUGGUUUCUUAUGUCUUUUGUUUAGCACAAAGCAGGACUUUCACUACACAAAGAGUACAUUGAAUAUUUGUGUGUAAUACAACUGACCUCCUACUCUAAGUUCAUGACUUGUGCUUUUAGUCAUUUUUAAAAAAUCUUUAAUAUUUCCUUACAACCCAGUCACUAUUGCCCUCCUAUUCCACUCUCCAACAGUUCACAUUCCAUUCCUCCUCCACUGUCUCCAAGAGGAUGACCCAACCCCCCCCCACACACACACCUUGCUAGGCCUCCCCACUCCCUGGGGCCUCAAGUCUCUCAAGGGUUAGGAGCUUCUCCUCUCUCGGAGGCCAGACCAGACAGUCCUCCCCUCUAUAUGUGUCAGGGGCCUGGAAACAGCCAUUGUAUGAUGACUGGUUGAUGGCUCAGUGUCAGAGAGAUCUUGGGGAUCCAGAUUCCUUGAGAUAGCUGGUCUUCCCUUGCAGUUACCCUUCUCAACCUCUUCCAGUCGGUCCCUCAAUUCAAUUACAGGGGUCCCCUACUUCAGACCAUUGGUUGUGUGCAAGUAUCUGCCUCUGUCUCAGUAAACUGCUUAUUGGGUCUCUAGGAUGAGAGCCAUGCUAGGCUCCUGCCUGAAAGCAUACCAUAGCAUCAGUAAUAAUGUCAGACCCUGGAACCUUCCCUGAGGUGGGGCCAUAUUUUGGCCAGUCACUGGACUUUCUUCUCACCCUAUUCCCCAUUCUCCUCUCUAUUUUUGUUCCAGUAGUUCUCUGAGACAGGAACAACCCCAGAUCAGAAUUUCUGACUGUAGGAUAAUUCUUGAGAAAAAAAAAUAUGUGAUGGAUGAGGAAAUGGCUAAGGAAGUGAGGUAGUUGCCAUGCCUAUUUAAUUUUGGUUUUUGGUCAGAUCCUCCAGAACCAUGGAAAUACGUGUCCUGUAAUUUCAGCAUCCCCAUGAGUAGAAAAAGGGAGGAAAAAGAGACAUCUUGAACUUUUGGUGUAUGCAGUGGUAUAUGCAGUGGUGAAUAAGAGAACCUAUAUCAAACAGUCAAUACCUGAAGCUGUCCUCUGUCCUCUGUGUGUACACCGUGGCAUGUGUUUGGGUGCCAACUUGUUUCUUUCUGUGUACUUCCUGUCUGUUCCUCUCCCACAUAUCCAAGUUCCAUACAUAUGAAUAUAUUAUAUUGUAUUAGUAUAGUAAAUAUUUCCAAAUAAAAUAAACUUUGCACUCUUCC